CUUGUCAUACCAGCUUGAAUCUCAAUGGUUGACGCAUUUGACUUUCUCUUGCUAUGUAAUCUACUUCUUGUCUUCGAUGGAAGGUGUGAACCUGAUGAAUACAUCACUUUCAAACUUGCCACAUUGGGAUGGCCGAUAUAAAAGAGAGAAAGAGUGUACAAGCUUCUACCUUCAUCAGGUGAAGAAUUUUCCAGAGAAGAAUCACUUGGAGAUCCCAUGCUAAAUGGAUCUCCAUGAUGAUUUAUCUGUGAAAUACGCCUCUUAAGUGCAGCAAUUGAGGCAAGUGGACUAUGUGUAGCAUUUUGUGAAGCACAAACCCUUUCAGUGGCCCCCAAAGCUUCCCUAGUUGUUUUACUUUCCAUAAUAGUGAGAUCAUUUCCGCGGCAUCCUUCCAGUGGAGGAAGACAAAUCUUGUCCACAUUGAUUGACUUAAUUCGUAACCUUUCUUCCAAGAAUUCUAUCUCUUCACCCUCGUUGAUUUCUUCAAAGCAAUACAAAAGUUUACCCAAAAUGUUGUCUACAUUUUUCUCUUCGUCAGCUGUGGAACCU
rnacentral:lncRNA from 1 species